AUUGAACGCUGGCGGAAUGCUUUACACAUGCAAGUCGAACGGCAGCACGGACUUCGGUCUGGUGGCGAGUGGCGAACGGGUGAGUAAUGUAUCGGAACGUGCCCAGUCGUGGGGGAUAACGUAGUGAAAAUUACGCUAAUACCGCAUACGAUCUAUGGAUGAAAGCGGGGGAUCGCAAGACCUCGCGCGAUUGGAGCGGCCGAUAUCAGAUUAGGUAGUUGGUGGGGUAAAGGGCCACCAAGCCAACGAUCUGUAGCUGGUCUGAGAGGACGACGAGCCACACUGGAACUGAGACACGGUCCAGACGCCUACGGGAGGCAGCAGUGGGGAAUUUUGGACAAUGGGCGAAAGCCUGAUCCAGCCAUUCCGCGUGCAGGAUGAAGGCCCUCGGGUUGUAAACUGCUUUUGUACAGAACGAAAAGGUUUCUACUAAUACUAGGAGCUCAUGACGGUACUGUAAGAAUAAGCACCGGCUAACUACGUGCCAGCAGCCGCCGUAA
rnacentral:rRNA from 1 species